UAAUACGAAGGGGGCUAGCGUUGCUCGGAAUUACUGGGCGUAAAGGGCGCGUAGGCGGCACUGUUAGUCAGGCGUGAAAUUCCUGGGCUCAACCUGGGGACUGCGCUUGAUACGGCAGAGCUAGAGGAUGGAAGAGGGUCGCGGAAUUCCCAGUGUAGAGGUGAAAUUCGUAGAUAUUGGGAAGAACACCGGUGGCGAAGG
rnacentral:rRNA from 1 species